GAGAUGGAGGAAGGACUGUGCCUGGAGGUGGAGGGGAAGAUGGUCAGUAGGACAAAGGGUGACAUUGAUGACUCGCUUAUUGGUGGAGAUGCCUUCACUGAAGUUUCCCAAAGCGAAGGUACUGGAAGCAGAGUAAUCAUUGGUGUUGAUAUUGUCAUGAACAAUCACUUGCAGGAACUGACUUCACAAAAGAAGCCUACAAGAAGUACAUCAAAGCUGACAUAAAAUCAAAGACAAACUUAAAGAACAGAGACCAGAAACAGUAAAACCUUUUAUAACAGGAGCUGCAGAACAAAUCAAGCACACUCUUUCUAAUCUCAGAAACUACCAGUUCUUCAUUUGAUCUUAGCCAAAAGGUCAAGAAGCAAUAAAAACUACCAGUUCUUUAUUGGUGAAAACAUGAACCCAUAUGGCAUGCUGCCUCUGCUGGACUACCAUGAGGAUGGUGUGACUCCAUAGAUGAUUUUCCAUGGUUUAGAAAUGGAAAAAUGU
rnacentral:lncRNA from 1 species